UACGAAGGGGGCUAGCGUUGCUCGGAAUUACUGGGCGUAAAGGGCGCGUAGGCGGAUACUUAAGUCGGGGGUGAAAGCCCAGGGCUCAACCCUGGAAUUGCCUUUGAUACUGGCGAUCUUGAGUACGGGAGAGGUGUGUGGAACUCCGAGUGUAGAGGUGAAAUUCGUAGAUAUUCGGAAGAACACCAGUGGCGAAGGCGACACACUGGCCCGUUACUGACGCUGAGGCGCGAAAGCGUGGGGAGCAAACAGG
rnacentral:rRNA from 1 species